UGAAAGGCCGUGGACUCGACCGGAGCAUGGAGGACACCUCAAAAUCCCUAAAAAAACAUUACCAACUCUCUCGAGCUGCCAAGCGCCGCUUCGGACGCAGAGGCAGAGUAGGCGAGAAGAAAAGCGGCGACAAACACGACGAGGAUGACGGUGAGAACGAGGAUGAGGAGGACGAGGGCUGUGAUGUGCAGGCGUGGGAGACAUUGAGCAAGAGCUUUAACGACGUGCAAUCUGUUUUGGAUCAUAAUCGAGUUUUGAUCAAGCAAGUCAACGAAAAUCACCAGUCUAAAGUUGCAGAUAAUUUGGUUAAAAAUGUUGCCCUAAUUCAGGAGAUUAACGGUAAUAUUUCUAAAGUCAUGGGGAUUUACUCUGAUCUCUCUGUCAAUUUCUCCAGCAUCGUUCAACAGCGACAAGCUCUAUCCAAGAGUAGUGGCGAUACCAGCAACAGCAGUAGCAAUAGCUAACCGCCAGCCGGGGGACUCUCCGAGAAACUAUCAGAUUUGAUCAAAGUCAUCGGUGGUGGAUCCUUCAAGAAAUUUCAGUAAUCUCCGAUGCCUCUUUUAUACCUCUGGUGAAUUAAUAAGCAUUUUCUAGAGCUCACUUGUCAAACCUAUGCUUAUGCUGUCUCGUCUUUUAUUGGUUGAGUCGCUUGGUUGACUCACGCUUGUCUUUGUGUUUUGAGUCGUUUGGUAUGGAUUGGAUAAGUUUUAAGGUGUCGUUCAGUCGGUCACUGACUGUACUAGUUAUUGAUUUUGUGAUAUGGUGGCGAUGGAACUGAUGGUUAAUGUGAUGCUUAUGUCUGUUCUUUUUCUGGUUUUAUGUUUUCUGGUGUGACAUUAAGGAACGAUUAGUCGCUGAGCUGCAGGGAUGCUUAUUGACUGUGCAAAGACAUGAUUAAGGUAUUUAUGUUUUAAUUUGGUUGAUAUUGUUUUCCUGCAGCUGGUUCCUAGAAUUGACUUGGCGCGCAAUUGUUUUAGUUAGCGGCUAUGUUUGUUUAGGAUUGACUGCUGUUAACGCCAAAUACUCUGCCUGUGUUAUUCUCAUGUUGUCCCGUCCCCAUCUGUAAGAGGAAGCCUGAUAUUUGGCUCCCUUCUCAUCUCCCGGAACUCCCCCUCCCUUCCUAGAGCAGUCUCAUACAUGAUACACCGCAAAAGCUUUGAAAAUGGAUGAAACUACCCAAAGAGAAAGCAUUUCCAGUAAGAUAUGACCACAAAGAGAACAAAUAUUGAUGCCACUGUUAAAUUUGUUGCGAACGUCAUCCUCUUCCCUUGCCAUUGCCACUAUUACCCUCCUCAGCUGCCAUUAAAUACUAAUGAUUCACCACUAGUAGAAGGCAAUUGGAUGAAAUUGAAAAGACUCUGCAAUUGGUGAUGAGUAGGAGGUUUACUGUUGUAUAGCAUCUUCUACUUACUCUUUUGUGCUUGGCCAAUCAACCCCUGGGGUUCAUGAAGGUUAGCCCCGGCAUGACUACUAUAAUCGUGUUACAGAUUAUGCUCCCAAAUUCUACCACUUUGAGUCCCUUGAAAAAGUUCAUUUUACUGGGGAGGCUGUACAUCUGUCAAACAUGGUGGUUAGGAUCUCAGUUUGAGACGGGGGAUCUAGCAAUAGUAGUGGGAAAGUAAAGAUAGAAAGCUUCUUGUGGAGGGGUUAUUAGUGCUGGGAAAACAGAAAGCGGAACAGUUAACAAGGGGAUUCUCAAUGGUCUAGCUAAAAUUAUUUGGGGAUCACGAUGACUCUGAACUCCUCUUUGGACGUUUAGCAGAAGGAUCCACAAUUACAUGUAUCUUUCUGAUUGUUCCACAUCAUUAGCUUCAAGACCAUAUUUCCUGCCAUUACUUGGUUUUCUUUUGACUGUUCAUCAGGGAAUAGCUUGGCCUGAUUCUGAAAGAAUAUGCAGAACUUUUUGUGGUUGACAAUCAUUUUAGCAGGUUAUUGUGUCUUCUGUAAUUUCUUGUACUGAAAAACUUGUAGCUAUUAUCAGUCAAGUGCCUAUAAGGAGAGGGCUUCUUGAUAUUUAUCAUACUAACUUCUCCUAGAAUUAACUGGAUUCUAGCCACUAUUGCUGGAUAUCCAAGCAGCCAUAUGCCAAGGAAAUUAUCUUGCUGCGCUUUGCUUUUGUGAUAGUAACAAAGCUGCGGGGAUCAGGACAGUAUGAGGUCUACUUAGUGCGAUUGGGGAUGAGGUUUCUCUUUGGUGUUAUCACUUGAUCUGCUUCCUGACGACACCGUUGGAGAGUUUAUGUUAACAAGACACGCAUAUAUCAGACUUGAUCGUAUGGUUCAUUUGAAGGUGAGCUUCUUCUCAGUUAGUGCGAUGUUUUCUGAAAUAAUGUCCUUACUAUUCUAUAAUCUGAUACGUUACCGAUUUGAGCCGCUUGUUCUGUUACGGAGGCUGGAGAAGACCUUUGUUGUUGCAUCGCAAAAUAUUAGACUCGUAAAGACUGAAGCUAAGUUCGACCUAGUGUGAUAUAGGGAAGAAUUUUGUUUAUUUUUCUCUUAGUGACAUUUACAUACACGUUUUAGCCGUUGGAUUUUAUGCCUCUUGUAAUUGGAUAACUGCAUUGC
rnacentral:lncRNA from 1 species